AGUGAACGCUGGCGGUAGGCCUAACACAUGCAAGUCGAACGGCAGCACAGUAAGAGCUUGCUCUUACGGGUGGCGAGUGGCGGACGGGUGAGGAAUACAUCGGAAUCUACUUUUUCGUGGGGGAUAACGUAGGGAAACUCACGCUAAUACCGCAUACGACCUACGGGUGAAAGCAGGGGAUCUUCGGACCUUGCGCGAUUGAAUGAGCCGAUGUCGGAUUAGCUAGUUGGCGGGGUAAAGGCCCACCAAGGCGACGAUCCGUAGCUGGUCUGAGAGGAUGAUCAGCCACACUGGAACUGAGACACGGUCCAGACUCCUACGGGAGGCAGCAGUGGGGAAUAUUGGACAAUGGGCGCAAGCCUGAUCCAGCCAUACCGCGUGGGAGAAGAAGACCUUCGGGUUGUAAAGCCCUUUUGUUGGGAAAGAAAAGCAGCAGGUUAAUACCCCGCUGUUCUGACGGUACCCAAAGAAGAAGCACCGGCUAACUUCGUG
rnacentral:rRNA from 1 species